GUUGACACCAUUGAAUUUUGGAACAUCAACAGCGUUCCACGAAUAAUCAAAAACGAAACCUGUCUCCUGAGCUCUUAUCUACGACUUCGUGCGUCAAAAGUCAACUUCAAUGCUGAACAAACGACACCAAUAACAUUUUUAAGAAGGUAAUAAUGGUAAUGUGGACCAAGUUGAGGAAGUGGAGGAGGUCUGUCUGCCACGUUUAGUGGUGAGAGAUAGAAGGAUCCAGUUGUCAUGCAGUCAGAGGAGGAGUUCUUGAAACGUUAUCAACUGCCAAAGCAGUGCACCAGAAACCUGCUUCAGAAAAUCAGCAGAAAAUUACCCACAGCAAGAGAUGGCAGAGGUUGCAGCUUGUGUUAUGUUGCAUAAUCUAGCCACAACUGAGAAUAUUGAUAUUGCCAAAGAAGAAGACACAUAUGAACUGAGAGCAUGAUGCAGUACACUGCGAAAAUAAUG
rnacentral:lncRNA from 1 species